UCUGCCCCUUGAGGCGUUGCAGUCCGACUGUGUGUGUCGAGCCUGUGUCAUUAAGGGGUAGAGAGUUACCUCGGGCUAUGCCGAGGACCCAGAACAGUGGGUACUUGGAGGGAUCAUAGCUCCAACA
rnacentral:snoRNA from 1 species